AUUGAACGCUGGCGGUAGGCCUAACACAUGCAAGUCGAACGGCAACACAGUACGAGUUUCUUCUUCCCUGACGCGUGUGGCGGGCGGGUGUGGUAUCUAUCGGACUCCACUUUUUCGUGGGGGAACACGUAGAAACGCUUGCGCAUAUCCCGUAACCGCCCUACGCGUGAAAGCAGGAGCUUUUCGGCUCUUGCGCGCUUAUAUGCGCCGAUGUCGGAUUAGCUAGUAGGCGGGGUAAAGGCUCACCUAGGCGACGAUCCGUAGCUGGUCUGAGAGGAUGAUCAGCCACACUGGAACUGAGACACGGUCCAGACUCCUACGGGAGGCAGCAGUGGGGAAUAUUGCACAAUGGGCGCAAGCCUGAUGCAGCCAUACCGCGUGUAUGAAGAAGGCCUUCGGGUUGUAAAGUACUUUUAGUGGGGAUGAAGGGAGUAAAGUUAAUACCUUUGCUCAUUGACGGUACCCGAAGAAGAAGCACCGGCUAACUCCGUG
rnacentral:rRNA from 1 species